rnacentral:misc_RNA from 1 species
GUAUUUUGAAUUAAGUAUUCAUAAUAUUUUUCAGACAAAUUAGUUAAAAUAAGUUGAUAUAUAAAUCCCACACAUUUUUAUUUCUUGCGAAAAAAAGAUGGCAGGACAAACAUUGCACACAAGGUGGAUAUGGAUUUAAAAAGUGCCAUAAAACACUUAUUAUGAAUGAUCCUUCCGCAGGUUCACCUACGGAAA